rnacentral:misc_RNA from 1 species
GCAGUUAUAUGGCAGGCAGACUGACUUAACCAGAAUAAGAGAAUAUGCUGACCAACAGUAAACUAAUUUCAAGAAGUAUCACAUUGCUUAGAUGCAACAAUAUCAUUACUAGUAAACAUGUCAGAAAACAGUUCAAGAAAAACUCAAUCCAAAGUUGAGAACAGAUGUAAAUAUCUAGAAACAUUGAUGGUAAAAACUAGCAUCUUUCAAGUUAUUCAUUUCUAUUAUAUUUUUAUACAUAAUAAACCAGAAGAAUACAAGUGAUGUAGAGCACAGAGGAACAAGGAACAAAUCCUUA